rnacentral:rRNA from 1 species
GAUGAACGCUGGCGGCGUGCCUAACACAUGCAAGUCGAACGCUCGCAAGAGAGUGGCGCACGGGUGAGUAACACGUAGCUAAUCUGCCCUCAAGACAAGGAUAACUGUAGGAAACUACUGCUAAUACUUGAUAAGCUUACGGACUGUAGAGGUCUAUAAGAAAGAUUUAUCGCUUGAGGAUGAGGCUGCGCGCCAUCAGCUAGUUGGUAAGGUAAUGGCUUACCAAGGCGACGACGGCUAGGGGACCUGAGAGGGUGACCCCCCACACUGGGACUGAGACACGGCCCAGACUCCUACGGGAGGCAGCAGUGAGGAAUAUUGCUCAAUGGGCGCAAGCCUGAAGCAGCGACGCCGCGUGGAUGAAGAAGGUUUUCGGACUGUAAAAUCCUUUUCUGUGUGACGAGAGUGGACGGUAGCACAGGAAUAAGUCUCGGCUAACUACGUGCCAGCAGCCGCGUAAU